AUCUUGCACAUGUUUAUGUAACAGAUCAUGAUAUGAACGAGCUUGAUAAAUUUUACUUUGUAGAAAGAAAGAAGAAAUUCGUAGCUGGGAAUGGUAUAACACCAAAACGGGGAGUUAAAGGACACUUUUGCGGAGGAUGGUGGAGGGCCAACAACAAUAAAUCCAUUCGAGAUAAGCUAGGCAAUCCUAUUGGUUCAGUGAUGUCGUUAACAUAUUUCAGUUACAAAAAUAGCAAUCAAAGACGUGAAGAAAGCAUCAAAACUGAUUGGAUCAUGCAUAAAUUUAAGCUCAAAGAGGAUAAGUUCCAAGAAUGUGUUUUGUGUAGAAUCCGGGAUGGGAGUAAAAGGAUAAACAAGAAAUUAACUGUAGGAAGCAGUGAGAAUUUGCAGCUGCAAAUUAGUCCCAUGAAUACUGAUAUGGUGAUCAGUACCUUAGUGCUUGUGGAAGUACUCAUGAUCAGGUACUAGCAGUUGGAUAUAGGUUUGAACCAACUGAUGAAGAAUUCCUUUCUGAUUACUUGAGGAGGAAGCUUAAUGGUGAACAACUGCCAUCCAAUGCAGUCAUUGAUAUGGACAUCUAUGCAUAUGAUAUUCAUGGGUCAAAUAGCAAUAUGGAUAAUGAUGAGCAUGGGUGUGAUAGAUAUUAUUUUGUAAGUCGACAGAAGAAAUGUGUAACUAGUGAUAGAGGGAAGAGGCCCGAUAGAGAUGUAAAAGAGAAGUUUGAUGUUGGAGGAUAUUGGAAGGCCAGCACUGGACACAAAUACAUGCGAAACACCCGAAAUUUGAAAGUCAUUGGCUACAUCAAAACCUCAACAUUUUACAAGUACAAGAGCAAAAAUCGAAAUCGUCGUGAAUGCAUGAAAACUGAUUGGAUUAUGCAUGAGUAUAGUCUUUCAAGAGAUACGGUACGUACUAUAUGCUAUGUAUUAAUAAGUACAU